UAUGGUGACUAUAGCAAUGGUGUCCACCUCUUCCCAUUCCGAACAGAGAAGUUAAGCCCAUUUGCGCAAAUGGUACUGGAGUAACAUCUGGGAGAGUAUGUCGUUGCCGUAC
rnacentral:rRNA from 1 species